UGGUAGUCCACGCCGUAAACGAUGUCGACUUGGAGGUUGUUCCCUUGAGGAGUGGCUUCCGGAGCUAACGCGUUAAGUCGACCGCCUGGGGAGUACGGCCGCAAGGUUAAAACUCAAAUGAAUUGACGGGGGCCCGCACAAGCGGUGGAGCAUGUGGUUUAAUUCGAUGCAACGCGAAGAACCUUACCUACUCUUGACAUCCAGAGAACUUAGCAGAGAUGCUUUGGUGCCUUCGGGAACUCUGAGACAGGUGCUGCAUGGCUGUCGUCAGCUCGUGUUGUGAAAUGUUGGGUUAAGUCCCGCAACGAGCGCAACCCUUAUCCUUUGUUGCCAGCGAUUCGGUCGGGAACUCAAAGGAGACUGCCGGUGAUAAACCGGAGGAAGGUGGGGAUGACGUCAAGUCAUCAUGGCCCUUACGAGUAGGGCUACACACGUGCUACAAUGGCGCAUACAAAGAGAAGCGACCUCGCGAGAGCAAGCGGACCUCACAAAGUGCGUCGUAGUCCGGAUCGGAGUCUGCAACUCGACUCCGUGAAGUCGGAAUCGCUAGUAAUCGUGGAUCAGAAUGCCACGGUGAAUACGUUCCCGGGCCUUGUACACACCGCCCGUCACACCA
rnacentral:rRNA from 1 species